AACGACCCUGGAUCCAUACUCCCAGAGAGAUAGAGAAUGGGAAGGCUAUCAGGGGAGGGGAUGGGAUAUGGAGAUCGAGUUAUGGGAAUUGUGCGGAAUUGUACCCCUCUUAUUCUAUGGUUUUGUUAAUGUCUCCUUUCUUAAAUAAAAAAAUAAAAAAUAAAUUAAAAAAAGAAAAAAAAUUGCAGACAGAAAAAAAAAAACAUCCAGGCAGCAUUUAGUAUGUACUGUAAACAGAAACAGCAUCUCUUUGAGGGGCGCCUCUGUCUGGUAGCCAACAACUUGAACCCAGAUCCUUACAGCUGGUCAAGUGUGAGCUUGAUCCAGCCCUAACCCCGCCUAACCAUGGCAGCUUCACCACAGGGCCCCAGUGGUGUGGGCGGCAUUAUGGUCUGAUGUAGUAUUUUCAUGUAAUCUAUAUGUCAGCAUGCGGUCACUUCUAACGGCUAAUACAGUGCAAUGCUUCAUGUGUGCACACGCUAUUAUUUAAAGCUAUUAUUUAUUAUAUUGGUUGAAUUCACACAUGCAGAUUCCAAGGACAGCGGAGAAAAAAAAAUUUUUUUUUUCUCUCUCUCCUUUCAACCUUCUUUCCAGGUGCUGUGUGGGUCUGGCGCUAAGACCCAGCUCAGAGCUCCCAGCAACCUGCUUGCAGGUUCCUUCCCCCCUCUACUGCGCAUGUGUAACGCCAGAGCCCCUCUCUGCUCAGGAAGAUUGGCCAUUUGCAGCUCAAACUCCACUUUGGAGAAAGCUCCCCCUGCUCCAGGAUCGGAGAAAAUACUUCCCCACUAUGGGCAACUCAUGGUCCAGUUUCAGAAAGCAGCUGAUGAGAUGCCUGACAACUCUGCCCGCUCUGUGGGUCACCCGCAACUUCACGAGGGCAGCGAGGAGCUGCGGAAACUGCCCAGAAUUCAUUGGCGACGCUGCCUUGGGCAGAUGUGCUCUCCUGCAGAGAUGGCUGCGUGACAGGUUGCACCACCAUCAUCACCACGUGGGUGAACAGAAUCAUGCCAACCACAAUGAGGGUCCCCGACACCAGCAGGGAGGCACCGUGGACAGGGAGACCACUUACCUGGUUUAUUUCCUCAUCAGAAAGGAAGCCUUGGAGGAACUGAAAUGCUUCUGUGAGCGCUUCUAUGAAAGCAAAGGUUAUAUGCCUGUCCUGGUGCUGAGAAAGAAAAGCACCCAUCCUCAGGGGAGAAGCCGUGGCUAAGGGCUGCACUCCUGAUCUAUCCAGCCGCAGUCACACUCUCUCGCAGGCCUCCCUCUUCCCAAGACAGAUGUCAAAGUACAUCUGCUGUUUCACAUGUUGUGGUGUGGCCAGAAGUCCACAUGCCUCCGGGCUCCCUAGAAGAAAUCCCAGAUGGCCAAAGCUUGGUAAAAGUUGCUCAUAAAAUGCACCAUCCUGUGUGGCCCCCAGAGCUGCCGGAGAUUAGAAAGAUUUCCCUACCGCAUGUGCGCACAUUUACACAAGCUUAUGACCCCUACGUGUGUCGUGGUUUAUGUUACAACAACUAGACAUUCGUGUAAGUGUCCCUUGAGAGUCAAAAGCUUUUCUCUUCCCCUGACAAGAUAGCUUUAAUCUUUAAGUUGACAUUGAUUCAAAGAAGAGAAGAAAAGGAAAGGAAAAAAGUAAAACGAUUUUUGUAACAAUUUUGUGAUCCAGGAGAUGGCACAGUGUUUAAAGUGUUGGACUUACAAGCAUGAAAUCUUGAGCCCAAUCCCUUGCCCCAGUCGUACUGUUGUGGCUGUUGUCAUUGUGUCUUUUUUCUCCCUCGGGAAUCAACACAUAAAAUUUUAAAAGACUAUGACCUGGGUCAUAAUGUUUGAGAAAGAAAGCAAAGUAAAUUAAAGUAAAUGGAAAGAGGGGCUCUGGUACUGAAUUUUCUGUAACCCUGAUAAUAAAUGUGUUACUGGGAAAUAUUUCAUGUCCUGUGAGUAUCUGAUCAGAUCUUUUGUGUGUUUAAUUGUUAACAUGUGUGUUUUUGCAGCCAAAGCUUUGACCAAUUACUGUGAAAUGAACAAGAUCAAUAGAUGCAUAUUCUAUAGUUAAGCAUUGAGAAUGGCAGUGUGGCUAUCUGGAAAAGUGAAAUGUGAUUACUGAAUAUGUGAUAGUUAUUUUCUAAGUUGUUUCUUCUAAAUGUUUAGUAUCCUACAUAGCAGUUUUUAAAAGUGUAUCCAUUCUACCACUUAAUAAAAUUUUUUCCGCAUGCAAA